CGGAGUGUAGCUCAGCCUGGUAGAGCACUGCCUUCGGGAGGCAGGGGCCGGAAGUUCGAAUCUUCUCACUCCGACCA
rnacentral:tRNA from 1 species